rnacentral:rRNA from 1 species
GACGAACGCUGGCGGCGUGCCUAAUACAUGCAAGUAGAACGCUGAAGGAGGAGCUUGCUUCUCUGGAUGAGUUGCGAACGGGUGAGUAACGCGUAGGUAACCUGCCUGGUAGCGGGGGAUAACUAUUGGAAACGAUAGCUAAUACCGCAUAAGAGUGGAUGUCGCAUGACAUUUGCUUAAAAGGUGCAAUUGCAUCACUACCAGAUGGACCUGCGUUGUAUUAGCUAGUUGGUGAGGUAACGGCUCACCAAGGCAACGAUACAUAGCCGACCUGAGAGGGUGAUCGGCCACACUGGGACUGAGACACGGCCCAGACUCCUACGGGAGGCAGCAGUAGGGAAUCUUCGGCAAUGGACGGAAGUCUGACCGAGCAACGCCGCGGGAGUGAAGAAGGUUUUCGGAUCGUAAAGCUCUGUUGUAAGAGAAGAACGAGUGUGAGAGUGGAAAGUUCACACUGUGACGGUAUCUUACCAGAAAGGGACGGCUAACUACGUG